CAGCAGCCAGGCCAUUCGAAGGCCUCCGAUCCUCGCCCAACUCUGAUCACAACGGAGUGAACCAAGCAGAUAAUGGAAACAAGGUACAACCAGCUGGAGGUGCGUGGCGGAGGUGCACGUGCAUGAAGGGUGGUGUGUAUGGCUGCUGUGCGAGGGAGGUCCGGCGCCUUGACUGUUCCAGAAACCCUAAAGUUUCUGGAAGCUGCUUCUUUGGGCCUUUUUGUUUUUCUGUAUCGGGUUGGGGUUUGGGGUUAUUAAUUUGGGCUUGGUGUUGGGUUAAUUAUUUUGGAUUAGGCCUUUAGAUUUUAUUUUGUAAUCUGGACUGCUUAAUUGGACAUUUUUAUUGGCCUUAUUUAUUUACACGGGCCCGGGCAAAAAUUGGGCCUUACAGUGAUAAAUAGUGAACCCUUAAGGCCUUUUUAAUUUUUGUAGUUACCUUGCUCUUAACUCUCACAUUACUUUCUUAGCCUCAGAUCCCAAGCAGUUUUGGGAUUGGUUCUGUAACACCCUAUA